rnacentral:rRNA from 1 species
CCUACGGGAGGCAGCAGUGAGGAAUUUUGCGCAAUGGGAGCAAUCCUGACGCAGCAACGCCGCGUGGGCGAUGAAGGCCUUCGGGUCGUAAAGCCCUGUCGGGCGGGAAGAAAGAUUGUCAGUCGAAUAGGCUGUCAAGUUGACGGUACCGCCAGAGGAAGCACCGGCUAACUCCGUGCCAGCAGCCGCGGUAAUACGGAGGGUGCGAGCGUUAUUCGGAAUUACUGGGCGUAAAGCGCGUGCAGGCGGGAGAAAAAGUCUGAUGUGAAAGCCCGGGGCUCAACCCCGGAAGUGCAUUGGAAACUUUUCUUCUUGAGUCCUGGAGAGGAAGGGGGAAUUCCCGGUGUAGAGGUGAAAUUCGUAGAGAUCGGGAGGAAUACCAGUGGCGAAGGCGCCCUUCUGGACAGAGACUGACGCUGAGACGCGAAAGCGUGGGGAGCAAACAGGAUUAGAUACCCUGGUAGUCCACGCUGUAAACGAUGAUCACUGGGUGUAGCGGGUACUCAUUCCUGCUGUGCCGCAGCUAACGCGUUAAGUGAUCCGCC